rnacentral:misc_RNA from 1 species
AAUCUUCCAUGCUACUGAAAUUAUGUAUGCUAUUGAAGUUUAUGCUUUUGGUUAUUUGAUAUGAUAUUUAAAUAUGAUUGCAGGUUGCAUUUAAAACAGGUGAUCAUAAACAACAAAUCGUUUUUAUUGGUGGAUUAACUGAUGGGUUUCUCGCAACUGAGUAUGUAUAAUAACAUUAGUUUUAUUCAUUAGUGUCAUUCAUUCGACUGUUGCAUUGUUUCCUUUAUCAUUUCCUUGUGGACAUAAGGAGAUCAAAUCUUCAGCAAGUUAUUUAUAAAUAGUAAUAUUCUUAUAGCUAAUUCAC